AUGGUGCUUGCGAAAUAUGCUUGCACGGCGACGGCCUUAAAACGCCAAAUGGCACCCUUUGUUUAUGAGUACCGUUCGUUUCCUCGGUGGGCUCGCCUGCCUUGAGGACCAACAAUAACCUUUGCAGUAGCCGUAUCUUCAGUUAAAAUAAAUAUUAAAACUUUCAACAACGGAUCUCUUGGUUCUGGCAUCGAUGAAGAACGCAGCGAAAUGCGAUAAGUAGUGUGAAUUGCAGAAUUCAGUGAAUCAUCGAAUCUUUGAACGCACAUUGCGCCCUUCGGUAUUCCGUUGGGCAUGCCUGUUCGAGCGUCAUUUAAUCAAUCAAGCCCUGCUUGGUGUUGGGUGUUUGUUCCGCCUCGGUGCGUGGACUCGCCUUAAAUUCAUUGGCAGCCGGUAUGUUGGCUUCGUGCGCAGCACAUUGCGUCGCGAUUCUGGCAGACCCCCUCCCAUUAAGCUCCUUUCUAG
rnacentral:misc_RNA from 1 species